CAGUGAUUGAUAUAGAUGCAUAUGAUUCAAUUUCGUUGUGUAAUGCUAUGAUGUGUUAUGAUUUUUAAUGAUUUUGCAAAACAAGUCUUGGGCCCAAGCUUUUCAAACAAAGUAUUUGAUACUACUUCAUGUUUUAGAGUGGUGAUUAAGUUAACCCUUGCUAAUAUCAAGUAGAUAUUAGGAGAGGUUUUAGGACAUUCAUGUCUUAAAUGUUGAUUUCAAAUUUGGUAAAGUGAACUACCAAUUUGAAGCUUUGAUUAAGAAGUUAGAUAAAUCAGAAACUGGAUAAGAGUCAACUAAGAUUAAUAUUAACCAAAUGGCAAGUAGAAUCUCUCAAGAUAAAAAUCAAGGAAAGAAUGUCAUGAACAUUAGUGCUAUUGAAUUAAGAAGUGGAAGGAAGCUUGAAGCAUCAAGUAGCUCUUGGUCAUAUUUAAUCUUUGAUGGUAAUAAUAGUUCUUCAUCUCAUUUCUCCACUUUUCCUUUGGUUGAAAAUUAUUCUAAGGGUCUUAAUGAAAGCAUACAAGUCCCAAAUCAUGAGGAAAACACCCUUAGACCUCAAUAGAUUAGUUUGAAUCAAAAGCAAAGUCAAGAAAUCAAAUCUGGACAGUUUUAUAGCAUUGGGAAUUCUUUGUGUUUUGAAGGUGUUUCGCAUCCAAAAUUGACACCAAAGGAGGCCCAACAUGUUCCUUUAUGUCCCAAGGAUGAUUCUCAUGCUUUACAUCAUUCAAAUAGUAGCUCAAAUGGUAAGGGAACAUCAAACUCCAAAUCUGGACAGUUUAAGAUCAAAGAGGGCCAAGAGAGUGAUCUGGAGCAUUUAAAGGGAGAUGAAGCUCCAAAAGAGAAGGAAAUACUUGGGAGAAGAGGGAAGCUAAUAGAAUAUAAAGUGUGAGAUCCAAUUCCUAAGGAUAUGCCAUUCCUAAAGGCAUUGGCUAGAUUUUUCAAGAAUCAAGAGGAGGAAAAGCAAGAUUUAAUUGAGAUACUUAAGAAGGUUGAGGUGACUGUUCCCUUGCUUGACAUGAUCAAAAGUAUGCCUAAAUGUGCCAAGUUUCUAAAGGAGUUAUGUACAACAAAGAGGGGUUUCAAACCAUUAGCAACAAUUCAAAUGAGUCCCAAUAUUGAGCAUUUGUGACAUUGCUCAUGAGAAUCCACACCCUUGAGAGCUUGAUGUGAUAGGUACCCUUGGUAAAAAGGAUAAAAAGGUGAAGAGAGCAUGAGAAGGUCAAGAAAGGAAGCAAGAAAAGAGUAGCUUCGCUUGAUAGUGGUUUGACUACCAUUGUAAAAUGAAUAUAUAAUACGUUGUUAGAGUUUGAGUUGCCAACCAAGAUGCAUAAGUGUAUGUGAAUAUAAAAAUGUGAAUGUGUAUACAAUUUGUGGUUGAAAACUUACUUGUAUAUAUGAUGCUGCAUCUCAUCAAGAAUACUAUAGCAGUGGGUACGUGGGUAGCCCUAGAUGCCAAUCAAAAAAGUAUAUGUUAUUGUAUAACUUGUUCCACUUGA